UGGGGAAUAUUGCACAAUGGGCGCAAGCCUGAUGCAGCCAUGUCGCGUGUAUGAAGAAGGCCUUCGGUUGUAAAGUACUUUCAGCGGGGAGGAAGGCGAUAAGGUUAAUAACCUUGUCGAUUGACGUUACCCGCAGAAGAAGCACCGGCUAACUCCGUGCCAGCAGCCGCGGUAAUACGGAGGGUGCAAGCGUUAAUCGGAAUUACUGGGCGUAAAGCGCACGCAGGCGGUCUGUCAAGUCGGAUGUGAAAUCCCCGGGCUCAACCUGGGAACUGCAUUCGAAACUGGCAGGCUAGAGUCUUGUAGAGGGGGGUAGAAUUCCAGGUGUAGCGGUGAAAUGCGUAGAGAUCUGGAGGAAUACCGGUGG
rnacentral:rRNA from 1 species